AAGUNUGAUGUGAAAGCCCCCGGCUCAACCGGGGAGGGUCAUUGGAAACUGGGGAACUUGAGUGCAGAAGAGGAGAGUGGAAUUCCAUGUGUAGCGGUGAAAUGCGUAGAUAUAUGGAGGAACACCAGUGGCGAAGGCGACUCUCUGGUCUGUAACUGACGCUGAGGCUCGAAAGCGUGGGUAGCAAACAGGAUUAGAUACCCUGGUAGUCCACGCCGUAAACGAUGAGUGCUAAGUGUUGGAGGGUUUCCGCCCUUCAGUGCUGCAGUUAACGCAUUAAGCACUCCGCCUGGGGAGUACGACCGCAAGGUUGAAACUCAAAGGAAUUGACGGGGACCCGCACAAGCGGUGGAGCAUGUGGCUUAAUUCGAAGCAACGCGAAGAACCUUACCAAGUCUUGACAUCCUUUGACCACUCUAGAGAUAGAGCUUUCCCUUCGGGGACAAAGUGACAGGUGGUGCAUGGUUGUCGUCAGCUCGUGUCGUGAGAUGUUGGGUUAAGUCCCGCAACGAGCGCAACCCUUAUUACUAGUUGCCAGCAUUCAGUUGGGCACUCUAGUGAGACUGCCGGUGACAAACCGGAGGAAGGUGGGGAUGACGUCAAAUCAUCAUGCCCCUUAUGACUUGGGCUACACACGUGCUACAAUGGAUGGUACAACGAGCAGCGAACUCGCGAGGGUAAGCGAAUCUCUUAAAGCCAUUCUCAGUUCGGAUUGUAGGCUGCAACUCGCCUACAUGAAGCCGGAAUCGCUAGUAAUCGCGGAUCAGCACGCCGCGGUGAAUACGUUCCCGGGUCUUGUACACACCGCCCGUCACACCACGAGAGUUUGUAACACCCAAAGUCGGUGAGGUAACCAU
rnacentral:rRNA from 1 species